rnacentral:rRNA from 1 species
UACGUAGGAUGCUAGCGUUGUCCGGAUUUACUGGGCGUAAAGCGCGCGCAGGCGGCACUGUAAGUAAGGUGUGAAAUCUCCCUGCUCAACGGGGAGGGUGCACUUUAGACUGCAGAGCUAGAGGACGGUAGAAGGGGGUGGAAUUGCUGGUGUAGCGGUGAAAUGCGUAGAGAUCAGCAGGAACACCCGUGGCGAAGGCGGCCCCCUGGGCCGAACCUGACGCUGAGGCGCGAAGGCUAGGGGAGCGAACGGG